UACGUAGGGUGCGAGCGUUAAUCGGAAUUACUGGGCGUAAAGCGUGCGCAGGCGGCUUUGCAAGACAGAUGUGAAAUCCCCGGGCUCAACCUGGGAACUGCAUUUGUGACUGUAUAGCUAGAGUACGGUAGAGGGGGAUGGAAUUCCGCGUGUAGCAGUGAAAUGCGUAGAUAUGCGGAGGAACACCGAUGGCGAAGGCAAUCCCCUGGACCUGUACUGACGCUCAUACACGAAAGCGUGGGGAGCAAACAGG
rnacentral:rRNA from 1 species